AUUGAACGCUGGCGGCAUGCUUUACACAUGCAAGUCGAACGGUAACAGGUUAAGCUGACGAGUGGCGAACGGGUGAGUAAUGCAUCGGAACGUGCCCAGUCGUGGGGGAUAACGCAACGAAAGCUGCGCUAAUACCGCAUACGAUCUGAUGAUGAAAGCGGGGGACCGUAAGGCCUCGCGCGAUCGGAGCGGGCGAUGGCAGAUUAGGUAGUUGGGGGGGUAAGGGCCCACAAAGCCAACGAUCUGUAGCUGGGCUGAGAGGACGACCAGCCACACUGGGACUGAGACACGGCCCAGACUCCUACGGGAGGCAGCAGUGGGGAAUUUUGGACAAUGGGCGAAAGCCUGAUCCAGCAAUGCCGCGUGCAGGAAGAAGGCCUUCGGGUUGUAAACUGCUUUUGUACGGAGCGAAAAGGUCUCCUCUAAUACAGGGGGCUCAUGACGGUACCGUAAGAAUAAGCACCGGCUAACUACGUGCCAGCAGCCGCCGCCG
rnacentral:rRNA from 1 species